UACGUAGGGGGCUAGCGUUGUCCGGAAUCAUUGGGCGUAAAGAGCGUGUAGGCGGCCCGGUAAGUCCGCUGUGAAAGUCGGGGGCUCAACCCUCGAAUGCCGGUGGAUACUGUCGGGCUAGAGUGCGGAAGAGGCGAGUGGAAUUCCUGGUGUAGCGGUGAAAGUGACGCAGAUAUCAGGAGGAACACCGAUUGCGAAGGCGGGUCUCUGGGCCGAUACUGACGCUGGAGGAGCGAAAGCGUGGGGAGCAAACAGG
rnacentral:rRNA from 1 species